UUCUGUUCUGUUGCAGAGUAAAGAAUGAAUGCACAGUCUGAGGGAAAAAGAGAUCUUAUUGGAUAAGAAAGAUGAGUGAACACCAGCAUUUGGUGCUGCAGUUUUAGAACCACUGGCUCGCUUUGGAGUACCCAGCAGACCACAGUGUUUGACGUCCACUUGGAGGUUCCCACUCCCCACUUGAGUGCCCU
rnacentral:lncRNA from 1 species